CAAAAGUAGCUUAAUUUAAAGCAUCUUGCUUACACCAAGAAGAUACCCGUGAAAUUCGAGUCAUUUUGA
rnacentral:tRNA from 1 species